rnacentral:rRNA from 1 species
GACGAACGCUGGCGGCGUGCUUAACACAUGCAAGUCGAACGGAAAGGCCCUGCUUUUGUGGGGUGCUCGAGUGGCGAACGGGUGAGUAACACGUGAGUAACCUGCCCUUGACUUUGGGAUAACUUCAGGAAACUGGGGCUAAUACCGGAUAGGAGCUCCUGCUGCAUGGUGGGGGUUGGAAAGUUUCGGCGGUUGGGGAUGGACUCGCGGCUUAUCAGCUUGUUGGUGGGGUAGUGGCUUACCAAGGCUUUGACGGGUAGCCGGCCUGAGAGGGUGACCGGCCACAUUGGGACUGAGAUACGGCCCAGACUCCUACGGGAGGCAGCAGUGGGGAAUAUUGCACAAUGGGCGGAAGCCUGAUGCAGCAACGCCGCGUGCGGGAUGACGGCCUUCGGGUUGUAAACCGCUUUCGCCUGUGACGAAGCGUGAGUGACGGUAAUGGGUAAAGAAGCACCGGCUAACUACGUGCCAGCAGCCGCGGUGAUACGUAGGGUGCGAGCGUUGUCCGGAUUUAUUGGGCGUAAAGGGCUCGUAGGUGGUUGAUCGCGUCGGAAGUGUAAUCUUGGGGCUUAACCCUGAGCGUGCUUUCGAUACGGGUUGACUUGAGGAAGGUAGGGGAGAAUGGAAUUCCUGGUGGAGCGGUGGAAUGCGCAGAUAUCAGGAGGAACACCAGUGGCGAAGGCGGUUCUCUGGGCCUUUCCUGACGCUGAGGAGCGAAAGCGUGGGGAGCGAACAGGCUUAGAUACCCUGGUAGUCCACGCUGUAAACGGUGGGUACUAGGUGUGGGGUCCAUUCCACGGGUUCCGUGCCGUAGCUAACGCUUUAAGUACCCCGCCUGGGGAGUACGGCCGCAAGGCUAAAACUCAAAGGAAUUGACGGGGCCCCGCACAAGCGGCGGAGCAUGCGGAUUAAUUCGAUGCAACGCGUAGAACCUUACCUGGGUUUGACAUGGAUCGGGAGUGCUCAGAGAUGGGUGUGCCUCUUUUGGGGUCGGUUCACAGGUGGUGCAUGGCUGUCGUCAGCUCGUGUCGUGAGAUGUUGGGUUAAGUCCCGCAACGAGCGCAACCCUUGUUCAUUGUUGCCAGCACGUUAUGGUGGGGACUCAGUGGAGACCGCCGGGGUCAACUCGGAGGAAGGUGGGGAUGACGUCAAGUCAUCAUGCCCCUUAUGUCCAGGGCUUCACGCAUGCUACAAUGGCUGGUACAGAGAGUGGCGAGCCUGUGAGGGUGAGCGAAUCUCGGAAAGCCGGUCUCAGUUCGGAUUGGGGUCUGCAACUCGACCUCAUGAAGUCGGAGUCGCUAGUAAUCGCAGAUCAGCAACGCUGCGGUGAAAACGUUCCCGGGGCU